rnacentral:rRNA from 1 species
UACGAAGGGGGCUAGCGUUGUUCGGAAUUACUGGGCGUAAAGCGCACGUAGGCGGGUGGUUAAGUCAGGGGUGAAAUCCCGGAGCUCAACUCCGGAACUGCCUUUGAUACUGGCCAUCUAGAGGCUGGAAGAGGUUAGUGGAAUUCCCAGUGUAGAGGUGAAAUUCGUAGAUAUUGGGAAGAACACCAGUGGCGAAGGCGGCUAACUGGUCCAGUACUGACGCUGAGGUGCGAAAGCGUGGGGAUCAAACAGG